rnacentral:rRNA from 1 species
GACGAACGCUGGCGGCGUGCUUAACACAUGCAAGUCGAACGGAAAGGCCCUGCUUUUGUGGGGUGCUCGAGUGGCGAACGGGUGAGUAACACGUGAGUAACCUGCCCUUGACUUUGGGAUAACUUCAGGAAACUGGGGCUAAUACCGGAUAGGAGCUCCUGCUGCAUGGUGGGGGUUGGAAAGUUUCGGCGGUUGGGGAUGGACUCGCGGCUUAUCAGCUUGUUGGUGGGGUAGUGGCUUACCAAGGCUUUGACGGGUAGCCGGCCUGAGAGGGUGACCGGCCACAUUGGGACUGAGAUACGGCCCAGACUACUACGGGAGGCAGCAGUGGGGAAUAUUGCACAAUGGGCGGAAGCCUGAUGCAGCAACGCAGCGUGCGGGGUGACGGCCUUCGGGUUGUAAACCGCUUUCGCCUGUGACGAAGCGUGAGUGACGGUAAUGGGUAAAGAAGCACCGGCUAACUACGUG